rnacentral:rRNA from 1 species
UGGGGAAUAUUGGACAAUGGGCGCAAGCCUGAUCCAGCCAUGCCGCGUGUGUGAAGAAGGCCUUUUGGUUGUAAAGCACUUUAAGCGAGGAGGAGGCUACUGGAUUAAUACUCUAAGAUAGUGGACGUUACUCGCAGAAUAAGCACCGGCUAACUCUGUGCCAGCAGCCGCGGUAAUACAGAGGGUGCGAGCGUUAAUCGGAUUUACUGGGCGUAAAGCGUGCGUAGGCGGCUUCUUAAGUCGGAUGUGAAAUCCCUGAGCUUAACAUAGGAAUUGCAUUCGCUACUGGGAAGCUAGAGUAUGGGAGAGGAUGGUAGAAUUCCAGGUGUAGCGGUGAAAUGCGUAGAGAUCUGGGGGAAUACCGAUGGCGAAGGCAGCCAUCUGGCCUAAUACUGACGCUGAGGUACGAAAGCAGGGGGAGCAAACAGG